rnacentral:lncRNA from 1 species
GUACUGUGGACAGCGGGAUGAGGAUCAUUAUCUCAGUCAUGGUCUUGUACUGCUUUGGGAGCUGCUGGGCCUCUUCAAACAAAACUGUCCAUUCUGGUUUAUUGGGAAGCACGAUUGUUAUGGACUGUGAAGGUGUAAAAAACACUGGUACUGAAGAAAUCAAGUGGACCUUCGUGAAAGACAUGCCCGCUAAACAUUCUAUGCUGUAUCGAAGAGACAAACAAGGGCUUGUCUAUAGAAAAGAUGACCCCAAAAUGAUAAUUGCAAAAAAUAUGUCAUUGGUUAUCAAUGACUUUAAUAAAGACAAUGAAGGGCUUUAUCUCUGUGAGGUAUGCCAAGGCAUAUCGUCAUGCACCGUUACCACAUCUGAAUGUAUUUUAGAAAAAAAGACUCUUCCGUCAAAGUUGGUUUAUGUUGUUAGAGGUGGCGUCUACAGACAUGAAUGCCCACAUGCAACGGGGAACACUGCCUUUUGGAGCUUUCGACCACUGUCGGCGAACAUAGCGAAACCAUUUUCUCAAAAUUCUUCUCUUGUCUUAACCAACAUUCAAGACGACAUGGCAGGGAUUUUCACUUGUUGGAUAAGGACACGGGACAGACGAAAGUGGGCCUUUUCCUUAACACUUUGCAUCAUCUCCGGCAUAUCUGAUAGCGAAGAAUCUUUGCAGAACUGUACUCUUCUGUGCGGUAAACACAGCGAAAUGGAGAAGUCCGAUUCUCGUAUUGUGGUCACUGAUAGAGAGAAUAUCACUGUAUUCCACAAACCAAAUGGACUUGUGGACUGCAUUGUUACUGUUAAUGGUGAGGCGUACGUUAAAGAAGACAACAUCCGAUCAAAUAGAUCAGAGGACACAACAAAUGCUCCUGACUUGAACACAAUCAGCACUUAUGCAGAGACCCCAGGUAAAAUAUGCACUUCAAACUAUACUUCAUACUUUUAGUCCUGGUGGGGACAUCCUAGAAUAAAAAAAAAUAAGUUAUAUGCUCA